GGAGUCGGCCAGGCAAUCGCCCCAGCGCAAGUGAGGGAGGAAAGUCCGGGCUCCAAAGGGUAGAGUGCCAGGUAACGCCUGGGAGGCGCGAGCCUACGGAAAGUGCAGCAGAAAAUAAACCGCCUGUUUUUCAUUCGUGAAAGGCAGGUAAGGGUGAAAUGGUGCGGUAAGAGCGCACCGCGCGGCCGGUAACGGGCGUGGCAGUGUAAACCCCACUCGGAGCAAGACCAAAUAGGAAUCCGCUAAUCGUGACCCGCGAUGGGAUUCGGGUAGGUCGCUAUA
rnacentral:RNase_P_RNA from 1 species